GAUGAACGCUGGCGGCGUGCCUAAUACAUGCAAGUCGAGCGAACAGACGAGGAGCUUGCUCCUCUGACGUUUGCGGCGGACGGGUGAGUAACACGUGGAUAACCUACCUAUAAGACUGGGAUAAUUUCGGAAAACCGGAGCUUAUACCGGAUAAGAUAUUGAUCCGCAGUGUUGGAUAGUGAGAGACGGUGGUGGUGGCACGUAUAGAGGGAUCCGCGCGGCAUUGGCUAGUUGUGGAGGUAACGGCUUACCAAGGCAACGAUGCGUAGCCGAACUGUGAGGGUGGUAGCCCACACUGGAACUGAGCCAGGGUCCAGACUCCUACGGGACGCGGCAGUAGGGAAUCUUACGCAAUGGGCGAAAGUCUGACGGAGCAACGGCGAGUGAGUGAUGACGGUCUUCGGAUCGUAAAAAUCUGUUAUUAGGGAAGAACAAAUGUGUAAGUAACUAUGCACGUAUUGACGGUAACUAAUCAGAAAGCAACGGCUAACUACGUG
rnacentral:rRNA from 1 species